AUUGAACGCUAACGGCGUGCUUAACACAUGCAAGUCGAACGGCAGCACAGCAGUAGCAAUACUGUGGGUGGCGAGUGGCGGACGGGUGAGUAAUGCAUAGGAAUCUGCCUUGUAAUGGGGGAUAACCCGGGGAAACUCGGGCUAAUACCGCAUAAUCCUUACGAAGCAAAGGGGGGGACCGUAAGGCCUCACGUUAUAAGAUUAGACUAUGUUGGAGUAGCUAGUUGGUAGGGUAAAGGCCUACCAAGGCGACGAUCCAUAGCUGGUCUGAGAGGAUGAUCAGCCACACUGGGACUGAGACACGGCCCAGACUCCUACGGGAGGCAGCAGUGGGGAAUAUUGGACAAUGGGGGAAACCCUGAUCCAGCAACGCCGUGUGUGUGAAGAAGGCCUUAGGGUUGUAAAGCACUUUCAGUAGGGAAGAAAAGCUUAAGGGUAAUAUCCUUGAGUAUUGACGUUACCUACAGAAGAAGCACUGGCUAACUCUGUGCCAGCCGCCGCGGUAA
rnacentral:rRNA from 1 species